GAUGAACGCUGGCGGCGUGCCUAAUACAUGCAAGUCGAGCGAAUGGAUUAAGAGCUUGCUCUUAUGAAGUUAGCGGCGGACGGGUGAGUAACACGUGGGUAACCUGCCCAUAAGACUGGGAUAACUCCGGGAAACCGGGGCUAAUACCGGAUAACAUUUUGAACCGCAUGGUUCGAAAUUGAAAGGCGGCUUCGGCUGUCACUUAUGGAUGGACCCGCGUCGCAUUAGCUAGUUGGUGAGGUAACGGCUCACCAAGGCAACGAUGCGUAGCCGACCUGAGAGGGUGAGCGGCCACACUGGGACUGAGACACGGCCCAGACUCCUACGGGAGGCAGCAGGAGGGAACCUUCCGCAAUGGACGAAAGUCUGACGGAGCAACGCCGCGUGAGUGAUGAAGGCUUUCGGGUCGUAAAACUCUGUUGUUAGGGAAGAACAAGUGCUAGUUGAAUAAGCUGGCACCUUGACGGUACCUAACCAGAAAGCCACGGCUAACUACGUGCCAGCAGCCGCGGUAA
rnacentral:rRNA from 1 species